CUGGCCCUAAAUCUUGAUGCUCGAUCUUACCGGAGCAUCCGCCCGAGAACUACGAGCACAAACGCUUAAAACUCUAAGGACUUGGCGGUGUCCCAAACCCAC
rnacentral:rRNA from 1 species